CCCCAGAGCCUGCGCACUGCGGCCCGUGCGCCACUAGUGGUUCCCAGCUGGGCUCCGAAGAUGGCGGACGGCACCGGCGCGGGCGGCAGCACAUCCUUGAGGGGGCUGCGGGAACGGAUGGUUGCUGCAGCUCACGCAAUUGCCGAAGAGAGACGUAAUCAGAGUGGUAUUAGUUCUACUUUAUCCCAUUCUUCAAAUAUAAGAUCGACAUUUAAACCAGUGAUAGAUGGAUCUGUACUUAAAAAUGAUAUAAAACAAAGGCUUGCAAAGGAACGUAGAGAAGAAUCCAAACGGCUACACGAUGCUAAUAAAGAAAUGCAGAUGCUUGAAAAAGAAAGAAAGUCCAAGCUCCAAUAUGAAAAGCAAAUGGAAGAAAAGCAGCGAAAGCUGCGAGAACAAAAGGAAAGAGAUGAACAACGGAGGGCAUCUGCUGAAGAAAAAAGAAAACAGAAGUUAGAAGAAGAAAGGGAGCGAUUCAAAGCCGUACUUUACCGUACUUUGGAACGGAGCAACCGUGUUGAUCAUCGUCAAAAAAGGUGGUCAUGGGAAGGCUCUGCCACAUUGAAUUCUGAGAACAAAUCUGCCAAUAAACGUUCCGUAUCUACUGAAAAACUUGAACAAGGGAAUUCUGCUUUCAGUAAACAAAUGUCUACGUCAUCUGCAGGUCUUCAAAAUUCUAUUAAGAGAAAAACAGAAAAGAAAAGAAGUUCAUCUCUGAAUAGAAGAGAUAGUAAGCUGCAUUCAAGUAUUGAGCUGGAACAAAUGGAAAAGGAAGAAAGGCCACCGGCCCGUCGCUCAUACCUGAGUCCUCAGGAGACCAAUUUAAUCAGUCGUCUACUCGUCCCAACGAAAGCAUCACUGGCCAGAAGCAAGAGUGCUGCUUCCCUGUCCAGCCCUGGAAAAGAUUUUCCAGGUAUCAAUAAUUUGCUCCAGCCUCUAAGGAUACCCUUGCGUAGCCAUAGUAGUGAUGAAUUGAAGACUACUGUCGUGCCUCCACAAUCAACAGUGAAAACACCUCCUCAGGAACAACCAGAAGUACCUCCCCAGGAGCAAGUAGACAUGCUUCCCGAGGUGAGCAUGGACACAUCCCCGGAGGUGAGCAUGGAAACUUCCCCCGAGGAGAGCACAGAAACAUUCCCUGAGGAGAGCGCAGAAAUGAACCCCAAGGCAAGUGUGGAAACAUCCCCUGCGGCCAGCGUGGAAACAUUCCCUGCAGCAAGCUUGGAAACAUCUCCUGAGACGAGUGCGGAAACAUUCCCUGACGCGAGUGUGGAAACAUUCACUGACAUGAGCAUAGAAACAUCCCCGGAGGGGAGCAUGGAAACGUUCCCCGAGGGGAGCGUGGAAACCUCCCCCGAGGUGAGCAUGGAAGUGUUCCCUGAGACUAGCGUGGAAAUGGCCCCUGAGGAGAAUGCAGAGGCGCCCCCUGAGGUGAGCGUGGAGGUGUUUCCCGAGGCGAGCAUGGAAGCUUCCCCUGAGGCAAAAAAAUCAGAAAUGGACAAACAGCCUUCAAACCCUGUUACCAAGAAGCGCCUGUCAUCGUGCAUACCGUGUUAUAGACGGUCAUUGUCUCCUGCACGUGGGUGGCGUCCACCCUCUCCCGUUAGUGUUACGCAAAUCCCAAAGAACUGCCCCCCGUCACCUUCACCUGUUACAUCAAAACACUCAGCAGCAACGUCUUCUCUGUCCUAUAAAAUAAUACCUGUGCAGCGUACUCUGUUUGCACCAAGUGCGUUAAAUACUCUCAAAAAGAGAAGGGAGGCAAUUUCUAAAGCUCCUUACAAAUGUGAGACUGUGAGCCAAAUCAAUAUGCCAUCACCUAACCUGGAGAAGGAAACUACGACUCUCGGUCCUAAGAUCUCUGAAGAACCCAGUAAUAAAGCCAUGCCAGGAACAAUGAAUGCUGAGGAGGCAACGAGAAUUUUGGCAGAAAAACGCCGCCUUGCUCGUUUGCAACGAGAAAAAGAAGAAGAAAAAAUGAAAAAAGAAAUGGAGCUAAGGAGAGUGAAAGAUAUGGUAAAGAAAGCAGAUGAAGGGCAAGAAGAAGAAUUCUCAAGAUUCGAAGAUGAGCAACAACAAAAGGAAAUUAAAAAGAAAGGGGGUCAGGACGAAGAAGAACAGGGACUACUACUACAGAAAGCAGCUGCCAAAAUUAAAGCUCAGGAGGAAGCUGACAGACGGAGGAAGGAACAUGAGAGAAUCAUGUUGAAAAAUUUGCAGGAACGUUUGGAACGGAAAAAGCGAAUAGAAGAGAUUAUGAAGAGGACGAGAAAGGUAAACACAUAUGCUUCCAAAGUAAGUCUACUCACUCCUCCCGGCAGUGCAUCAGAAUUCCUCUGGCUUCACAUUCUUGCUGACUUUUUCAUUUUUGCCAGUCUGGUGGUAAUGAACAUAGUAUCCCAUUUGCAUUUUCCUGAUUAUAAAAAAGGUGGAACAUGUUUUCACGUGUUUAGUUAGCUUUCACAUAUUCUCCUAUGUGAAAUCUUUGUUUAGCUCUUUUGCCCAUUUUUCUUAGGUUGAUUUGUCUUUUACUUACUUGUGGUUCUUUAAAUGCUUUAGAUGCUGCUACUUUGUUGGUUCGAUGUCUUGCAGCUCUCUUCUCUCAAAAGAGAGCUCAUCUUUUCUUUUUUUCAGUGUUGUCUUCUGAACAGAAGUUUUUAAUUUUAACGUUAUCAGUAUUUUCUGAUGGCUGAUGAAGUUGAGUACCUUUUCGUAUGUUUAUUGGCCAUUUGGACACCCACUUUAGUGGCAUACCUUUUCAAGUCCUUUGCCUGUUUUUCUUUUUGGCCACCUGCCUUUUUCUUGUUGGUUUUUACCUACUCUGGUUUUGCAAGUAUUUUUCCCCUCAUUGUAGUUUGCCUUAUACUUUCUUAAUGUCUUUUGAUGAAGUCCUUAAACUUAUUGAACUCAAAUUUUUCAAUAUUUUUCUUUUAUAGUUAGUGCUUUUUGGUUCUGUUUCAUAAAUAUUUGCUUACCCAACAUCAUGUCUUUUGAUGGAUUGCAUGCAUUCAAGGAUUUUUUCCUCCAAAAUCUGUCUUCUUUUUUUUUACAUUUUCUGCUUCAGAAUUGAUAUUUUGCCUGUUUACAGUUGCCCAGUUGUCAUCAUUCCUAUUACUAAGUAAUGUGAGAAUUUGGAAUAGAAAUGUCAUUUCUAAAAAGUGCUGGGAGUCACCAUCUUAAAUGAUCAGCCGCUCAUUGGCCUGGGGAGUUUCAUUUCAAGCAGCAAUCAAGAAUUUUUUUGGUUCUUCACUGAUUGACCCCACCUUGGCUAAGUUAGGAUUGCGUGUGGGCAGAGAACGAAUGCCAACCCAAGGGAGCUGUCCCUUGGCUCCAGCUCAGGAAAAUAUUCCAUUUUUGAGCUUCUUUCUCUAGCUGGAAGAUACAACUAGACCUGCCUAUCCAUGUCCCCUGUGGAUCCUUGGGGCCAGUUAAAGAGACCCCAGAGACAACAGGGAAUGAAACAUAUGAGGAGGACGAGGCAGACGAUGAGGGUGAGACGGAGACUGACGAAUCCUUUGAUGAAAUGACACCAGGAGCAUCUGUAAAUGGUAUCAA